GUAACAAGGUUUCCGUAGGUGAAACUGCGGAAGGAUCAUU
rnacentral:rRNA from 1 species